GAUGAACGCUGACAGAAUGCUUAACACAUGCAAGUCAUUGGCGAAGCUGCGCUUGCGCAGUCUAGCCAAGGCGGACGGGUGAGUAACGCGUAAGGAACUUGCCCUGCAGACAGGGAUAACAGACGGAAACGACUGAUAACACCUGGUAUUGUCAGGCUGGCGCAUGCCGGCCUGAUGAAAGGAGACGCUGCAGGAGAGCCUUGCGUCCUAUUAGCUAGUUGGUGGGGUAACGGCCCACCAAGGCGAUGAUAGGUAGCCGGCCUGAGAGGGUGAACGGCCACAAGGGGACUGGGAUACGGCCCUUACUCCUACGGGAGGCAGCAGUGGGGAAUAUUGGACAAUGGGGGCAACGCUGAUCCAGCAAUUCUGUGUGCACGAAGAAGGUUUUCGGAUUGUAAAGUGCUUUCAGCAGGGAAGAAGAAAGUGACGGUACCUGCAGAAGAAGCGACGGCUAAAUACGUG
rnacentral:rRNA from 1 species